rnacentral:rRNA from 1 species
GAUGAACGCUAGCGAUAGGCUUAACACAUGCAAGUCGAGGGGCAGCACAAGGUAGCUUGCUAUCUGGGUGGCGACCGGCGCACGGGUGCGUAACGCGUAUGCAACUUGCCCUAUACAGGAGGAUAACCCGUCGAAAGACGGACUAAUACUGCGUAUGCUCACAACUUGGCAUCAAGUGGUGAGGAAAGAAAUUCGGUAUAGGAUAGGCAUGCGUCCCAUUAGCUUGUUGGUGAGGUAACGGCUCACCAAGGCAACGAUGGGUAGGGGAACUGAGAGGUUUAUCCCCCACACUGGUACUGAGACACGGACCAGACUCCUACGGGAGGCAGCAGUGAGGAAUAUUGGUCAAUGGGCGCGAGCCUGAACCAGCCAAGUCGCGUGAAGGAGGACUGUCUUAUGGAUUGUAACCUUCUUUUAGACGGGAAUAACAAGAGUCACGUGUGACUCCCUGCAUGUACCGGAUGAAUAAGCAUCGGCUAACUCCGUG